rnacentral:tRNA from 1 species
AGCUUUAUAGUCAAAAUAUGAUGUUAGACUGCAAUUCUAAAGUAGUAGUAGAGGAUCUACUAAGGCUU